rnacentral:rRNA from 1 species
UACGUAGGGUGCGAGCGUUGUUCGGAAUUACUGGGCGUAAAGGGCUCGUAGGCGGCCAACUAAGUCAGACGUGAAAUCCCCAGGCUUAACCUGGGAACUGCGUCUGAUACUGGAUGGCUUGAAUUCGGGAGAGGGAUGCAGAAUUCCAGGUGUAGCGGUGAAAUGCGUAGAUAUCUGGAGGAAUACCGGUGGCGAAGGCGGCAUCCUGGACCGACAUUGACGCUGAUGAGCGAAAGCCAGGGGAGCAAACGGG